AAUGAAACUUGAAACUGAAAAAUUACUCACCUUUAGGCUGUCCAAGAUGUAGACGAGAUUGUUUCUUUUUUAAACAGAUUUGGAGAAAUUUAGUAUUACAUCACUUGCUCACCAAUGGAUCUGCUGCAGUGAAUGGGUGCCGUCAGAAUGAGAGUCCAAAUGGCUGAUAAAAACUAUCACAAUAAUCCACACAACUCCAAUUCAUCAAUUAAGUGUAUCUGUAAUAUAGUUCUCUCCAGUGAAAAAGUGAAAUACGCUCAGAUCAGUUUACAAGCAAAUACAGUCCAAAACAGUUCUAAAGAAAUAUGUCUGUGAAUUCUGAUGCAAGAGGACAACAGGGACAGUUAAUUAGAUUAUUGUGAUGUCUUUAUCAGAUGUUUGGACUCUCAUUCUGACGGCACCCAUUCACUGCAGAGGAUCCAUUGGUGAGCAAGUGAUGUAAUGCUACAUUUGUUCUGAUGAUCUUGGAUGGCUUGAGGGUGGGUAAUGUUUUUUUGUGAACCGUUCCUUUGAGGUUUUUUGGUGUAACAGAAGCCAAAACACAAGAUCCAGUGUUUUGUCAUUUGAAUAAAGAUUUAUUAAUAGAGCAUUGUUGAUAUAACAAUACUGAGAGAUGAUUUAACAGUGUUCAAGGAAGGUGUUUGUUUUAUAAAAGAGGGACAAAUGUGUUUCUAUUGGCAGACAUCACUAAGAGUUUUUAAAUCGAAAUCAUCUACAAUACUGAUUGAUAGAAAUAAAGACAUUAAAAAAAUCA